UAAGGAAUAUUGGUCAAUGGACGAAAGUCUGAACCAGCCAUGCCGCGUGGAGGAUGAAGGUCCUCUGGAUUGUAAACUUCUUUUAUCUGGGACGAAAAAAGGUCUUUCUAGAUCGUCUGACGGUACCAGAUGAAUAAGCACCGGCUAACUCCGUGCCAGCAGCCGCGGUAAUACGGAGGGUGCAAGCGUUAUCCGGAUUCACUGGGUUUAAAGGGUGCGUAGGUGGGUUGGUAAGUCAGUGGUGAAAUCUUCGAGCUUAACUCGGAAACUGCCAUUGAUACUAUCAGUCUUGAAUAUUGUGGAGGUUAGCGGAAUAUGUCAUGUAGCGGUGAAAUGCUUAGAUAUGACAUAGAACACCAAUUGCGAAGGCAGCUGGCUACACAUAUAUUGACACUGAGGCACGAAAGCGUGGGGAUCAAACAGGAUUAGAUACCCUGGUAGUCCACGCCCUAAACUAUGGAUACUCGACAUAACGCGAUACACUGUGUGUGUCUGAGCGAAAGCAUUAAGUAUCCCCACCUGGGGAAGUACAUCGCAGAUUGAAACUCAAAUGAAUGACGGGGUCAUAG
rnacentral:rRNA from 1 species